rnacentral:piRNA from 1 species
UGACAAUCCAGUGGUGAUCUAAGAUAAAACC